rnacentral:rRNA from 1 species
AAGACAUGCAAGUCGAACGGUUUUUAUUGAAGCGCAAGCAGAUAUAAAAGCAGUGGCGAACGGGUGAGUAAUGCGUGACCGACCUGCCCCAUACACCGGAAUAGCUCCUGGAAAACGGGUGGUAAUGCCGGAUGCUCCAGUUGAUCGCAUGGUCUUCUGGGAAAGCUUUCGCGGUAUGGGAUGGGGUCGCGUCCUAUCAGCUUGACGGCGGGGUAACGGCCCACCGUGGCUUCGACGGGUAGCCGGCCUGAGAGGGCGACCGGCCACAUUGGGACUGAGAUACGGCCCAGACUCCUACGGGAGGCAGCAGUGGGGAAUAUUGCACAAUGGGCGCAAGCCUGAUGCAGCGACGCCGCGUGAGGGAUGGAGGCCUUCGGGUUGUAAACCUCUUUUAUCGGGGAGCAAGCGAG